rnacentral:rRNA from 1 species
AGCGAACGCUGGCGGCAGGCUUAACACAUGCAAGUCGAACGGUCCUUCGGGAUGGUGGCGGACGGGUGAGUAACACGUGGGAACGUACCCUUAGGUUCGGAACAACACAGGGAAACUUGUGCUAAUACCGGAUAAGCCCUUCGGGGGAAAGAUUUAUCGCCUUUGGAGCGGCCCGCGUCUGAUUAGCUUGUUGGUGAGGUAAUGGCUCACCAAGGCUACGAUCAGUAGCUGGUCUGAGAGGAUGGCCAGCCACACUGGGACUGAGACACGGCCCAGACUCCUACGGGGGGCAGCAGUGGGGAAUCUUGCGCAAUGGGCGAAAGCCUGACGCAGCCAUGCCGCGUGGAUGAUGAAGGUCUUAGGAUUGUAAAAUCCUUUCACCGGGGACGAUAAUGACGGUACCCGGAGAAGAAGCCCCGGCUAACUUCGUGCCAGCAGCCGCCGUAA